rnacentral:rRNA from 1 species
AGCGAACGCUAGCGGCGGGCCUAACACAUGCAAGUCGAGCGCAUACCUUCGGGUAUGAGCGGCGGACGGGUGAGUAACGCGUAGGUCAUCUACCCUUUGGUGGGGGAUAACCCAGGGAAACUUGGGCUAAUACCGCACGAGGUCUACGGAUCAAAGCCUUCGGGCGCCAGAGGAUGAGCCUGCGUCGCAUUACCUAGUUGGCGGGGUAACGGCCCACCAAGGGGACGAUGCGUAGCUGGUCUGAGAGGAUGAUCAGCCACACUGGGACUGAGACACGGCCCAGACUCCUACGGGAGGCAGCAGUGGGGAAUAUUGCGCAAUGGGGGAAACCCUGACGCAGCCACGCCGCGUGGGUGAUGAAGGCCUUCGGGUUGUAAAGCCCUGUCGGGAGGGACGAAUUCUUGACGGUACCUCCAAAGAAAGACACCGGCUAACUCCGUGCCAGCAGCCGCGGUAA